rnacentral:rRNA from 1 species
CUACGGGGUGCACCAGUGGGGAAUAUUGCACAAUGGGGGAAACCCUGAUGCAGCAACGCCGCGUGGAGGAUGACACAUUUCGGUGCGUAAACUCCUUUUAUAUAAGAAGAUAAUGACGGUAUUAUAUGAAUAAGCACCGGCUAACUCCGCGCCAGCAGCCGCGGUAAUACGGAGGGUGCAAGCGUUAUUCGGAAUCACUGGGCGUAAAGGGUGCGUAGGCGGUUUGGAAAGUCAGGUGUGAAAGCCCGGGGCUCAACUCCGGAACUGCACUUGAAACUUCCAGACUAGAAUACUGAAGGGGCAGAUGGAAUUAGUGGUGUAGGGGUAAAAUCCGUAGAUAUCACUAGGAAUACCGAAAGCGAAAGCGAUCUGCUGGGAAGUUAUUGACGCUGAGGCACGAAAGCGCGGGGAGCAAACAGGAUUAGAUACCCCUGUAGUC